rnacentral:rRNA from 1 species
AUGGCGAUGCAAGUUGAAAUCCAAAUUUCGAUGCUCUACUUCAGAGUUUACUUCAGUUCGAAUGGCUUGAAAGACACAAAAAGGCUAGAGACCGACAGAUCCGAUCAAUUCAUCAUGCGUACGGAGGAUGGUCUUGGGGCAUCUGCUUUCCUGCAAGCCGUAGCCAAACGCCUUGGAGUAUCAAAUGAGCCGUCAACGAGGCCUGCAGGGCUGCAGUUUGAGAAAAUCAUCCACAUUGACUGCUCAAAGUGGGAGAGCAGAAGAGCAAUGCAAAGGGAAAUAGCAGAGCAGCUGAACCUUCCUAAUUGGGUGAUGGAGAUGUUUGACAAGCAAGAUGAGGAGGAUGAUUUCAAUGGGUUAGACCAGGGCUCCCGAACUGAGAUAGCACAAGUUGUCAGAGAGAUCUAUCAAACUACACAGAAUCAGAGGUUCUUGGUGAUUCUGCAUAAUGGAGGCAAUGAGGAGACUGAUGUGAUAGGAGCUGAAAAUUGGGACAUGAGCCAUUUCUGA